CAAAUUAUCUAAUUUAGUUUAGAAUUUCAUUUACGCUGAAAAGUUGAUCGUGCAAUUCGAUAUAAUUUGA
rnacentral:tRNA from 1 species